rnacentral:rRNA from 1 species
UGGGGAAUAUUGCACAAUGGGCGCAAGCCUGAUGCAGCCAUGCCGCGUGUAUGAAGAAGGCCUUCGGGUUGUAAAGUACUUUCAGUCGGGAGGAAGGUGGUAAGGUUAAUAACCUUAUCAAUUGACGUUACCGACAGAAGAAGCACCGGCUAACUCCGUGCCAGCAGCCGCGGUAAUACGGAGGGUGCAAGCGUUAAUCGGAAUUACUGGGCGUAAAGCGCACGCAGGCGGUUUGUUAAGUCAGAUGUGAAAUCCUCGGGCUCAACCUGGGAACUGCAUCUGAUACUGGCAAGCUUGAGUCUCGUAGAGGGGGGUAGAAUUCCAGGUGUAGCGGUGAAAUGCGUAGAGAUCUGGAGGAAUACCGGUAGCGAAGGCGGCCCCCUGGACGAAGACUGACGCUCAGGUGCGAAAGCGUGGGGAGCAAACAGG